UACGUAGGUGGCAAGCGUUGUCCGGAUUUAUUGGGUUUAAAGGGUGCGUAGGUGGAAUGGUAAGUCAGUGGUGAAAUCCUGCGGCUUAACUGCAGAACUGCCAUUGAUACUGCCAAUCUUGAGUACAUAUGAAGUGGGCGGAAUGUGUCAUGUAGCGGUGAAAUGCUUAGAUAUGACACAGAACACCGAUUGCGAAGGCAGCUCACUAAACUGUAACUGACACUGAGGCACGAAAGCGUGGGGAUCAAACAGG
rnacentral:rRNA from 1 species